CAAACCAUAGUAUGUAGGGGCCAAGUUUCAUAAUGUCUGCAGCUCAGUGUCAGAUGGGAUAGAUGGGGCAGUGGACAGAAGGAGAGCAAGCAAAUAUAGCGAAGAUGUUAACAUUUGCUGAACUCAGAUAGCAGGGCUCAGUGGUUAUUAUACGAUUGUCCCCAUUUUUCUGUAUGCUUAAAAAUUUGCAUAAUAAAAAUUUGAAGGUGGUCAGAAGGUACAAACUUCCAGUUAUAAAAUAAAGAAGUCCUGAGGAUGUGACGUAUAGCGUGGUGACUGGUUAACAAUAUUGUGUAUUUGAAAACUGCUAUGAGUAGAUCUUAAAAGUUCUCAUCACAAGAAGAAAAAGUUUGUAACUAUGUGUGACCAGACUUAUUGUGGUGAGCAUUUCACAGUAUAUACAUACAUCAAGUCAUUAUGUUGUACACGUGGAACUAAUACAUGCUAUGUGACAAGUAUCUCAAUUUAAAAAUUUUUUUGACGUGGAGGAGUGAAGUUGAACGGCCCUAAGCUAUCUUUGGUUCUGCUUGCUAACUUCGCUCUGUUGUGUUUCUUUUUGGUGAAAAUCUGAGGAUCCUAAAACAAUUAUUCUGUUUGACUUUAUAAUUAUGUAGGCGUCAUCAGCAGCUUCACUCUUCAUGUAGGUUCACAUAGCCCCUGUGCAUUGUGUGUUACUGUUCUGUGCGUCUCUGGCAGUUGCUCUAUUAUCCCUUCCAGCAUCCUCAAAGGUGUAGACACCUUAUGGACCCUACCUCGCAUGUAAUUCAGAGGGAUUGCUUAGUAAGGCGUGUUGCCUCAGGUUAAUUUAUCUUUUGAGAGUGACCCAUAAUGGUAUGCUUAGGGUAUGUUAUUAAACUACUUUUUGGUCGGAGGAUGCAGGCCUUUUCUCUAUCUAGUUUAUGUUAUACUUUACCGUAGCUUAAGAUUUUUAAUAUGGUUCUGGAUAGAUUUACUUUUUAUCUAGUUUAUGUUAUACUUUACCGUAGCUUAAGAUUUUUAAUAUGGUUCUGGAGAGAUUUACUUUUUAACCUUUUAGUUUCCUUUAGAAGGUAGGAUACUGCCUUUUCAGUACCCAUAUAAAAGAUGAAAUUGUUCUCAAGGCUUAAAGUUAAAAUGAAAAAAUUCCAACUGCUGUAAUUCUUUUAAAGUUUUGAUAAAUUGAGUAGAUUUAUCUGAUGUUAACCAAAGCUCGAAAAGAAGGCAAGGGUGCAGUAUGGUACGGUGACCUCAAACAUCCCAGACAAGCUAGAAGAUCAGAUGACCCAACUCGCUGUUGUCUCGGUUACUUUAGCACCUUCGUCAGAUCAGCAAAUACCUUAUUCGACGUGAAAUAAUCCUUAAAGGCAGAAAGAUUCUUGUACCCAAAUUAGGUAGAUACAGUGAUGAUAUGCAUAUCCUUGGAAAGCAGCAGUCCUGACCAGUUGUCUAGACACUUCUCAGCCCUCGGGUGUAGCUCUUGCGGCACUGCUCGCCUUGUAGAGUGUGCUGAAGACAAUUGGAUCCUAAGCCUAGUGAGUUUCUCCCCAUCAGGUGGGGAGAAACCAAGUAAUUCUAAUCCCUUAUGUUAAGAGGUGUGAUUGAUUCUAAUCCACAUAUAUACUAGAAUGCUUACUACUCUUGGUCUGUGUAGUAGGAAGAGAGAAUUUGUGUAGUAAAGAGACAGCCACAUCAAUAGUCACGUGAUCAGAGACCAAUCUUUGUGAACUGCUCAAAUUUUUUAUUGAUAAAUUUUCAAAUGUAGCUUUGUAUUAGCAAAAAUCCAGUAUUUUAAAAUAAACUGUCCUCAGUGGAGUUCAGUCAGAUUUGUUGAUUACAAAGUGCACAGUGGUAAAAAUUAUCAAGUCAGUGAGAAUACUGCACUUUGACUAUCACUGAACUAUGGGAUGUGUUUGCAGUUCUGGCUUAUUUUCUGUGGAGGCCUUCACAAAUUGUAUUUCAGCAAUUUGAUGGAAGAGAAUGCAUUUUGGCAGAGUCAGAUCACACAGACUGCUGUUGAUGUUUUUAGAAGGAUAAUUUUGGAGGCAGAAAAAAUUGAUGGGGCCGCUUCACAAGGAAAGUCUUCCUGCUCAGUGAUGUGAUCCUACUGCAAAACCUGAGGGCACUGGGAAGCUGGCCGGCCUGAGGAAGCAACCUGCCCAUUAUCCUUUCAGAUAAACUCGGCUUCAUUUCUCUUCUGUUAACCUGAAAGAUUUCAUUUGGGUCAGAGCUUCUCCCCCAGCCCCUCCUUUCAGAUUAUGUUAAACUCUGACUCGGUCCAAAUGAGUUCACUUCCAUUUUCAAAUUUUGAGCAAUCGUAUUUUCAAUUUAUAUAUUGUAUUUCUUAAUAAUAUUAUGACCAAGAAUUUUAUUGCAUUAAUUUUUCAGUGUAGUUUGUUGUUUAAAAUAAUGUAAUCAUCCAAAUGAUACAUAUUGUUACACUACUAUUAACUAGGCUUCAGUGUGUCAGUGUUUAUUUCAUUGUGUUAAGUGUACACUUGUAAAUAAAACAGCUGCAAACCCUAGCCGUCGUGCUACUCAGAGUGGCUUUUAAAGAAGAAAACCUGUCCUGAGGGCUUCUUUCCCUGCCUCCCAGGAGGCUCCAGGUCGCAUUCCAGGAGCCAGUGGAGGAUGUGGCUGCAGACAGGCGAGUGGCCCGCCAGGCGGCUGUGGGCAGCUGGGGUCGAGUGCCCGAACUGGGGGCGUUCCUGUUGACUGAAGCCGAGUGACCCUGGGGGGGUCGGUGAGGGGGGUUGCUCCCCAGUACUGACUGUUCUCCCCACCUUGGUUGGAAUGUUUCAGGCAGGUAGGGCUGCAGGCUUACUUAGAGCCUUCUGGUCACCCCCUUGCUUGUCUCUUAGCUACUUGAAGAGAAGAGGUACUGUCCCUCCUUUUACUUAGCUUGGUGUCCACGGCAGACAGGAUCUGACUCAGAAAAUAGAUGGGCCUGUCACUAUCCCAAAACCUCCAGGAGUUUAAAGGAUGGGGAAGGUUGCCUGAAUAUGCCAUUAUGGACUUCCCUGGUGGCACAGUGGUUUGAGAAUCCACCUGCCAACGCAGGGGACACCGGUUCGAGCCCUGGUCCAGGAAGAUCCCACAUGCCGCGGAGCAACUAAGCCCGUGCGCCACAAUACUGAGCCUGCGCUCUAGAGCCCGCGAGCCACAACUGCCGAGCCUGCAUGCCACAACUACCGAAGCCCGUGUGCCUAGAGCCCGUGCUCCGCAACAAGAGAAGCCACCGUAAUGAGAAGCCAGCGCACCGCAACCGAGAGUAGCCCCUGGUUGCCGCAACUAGAGAAAGCCUGCGUGCAGCAAUGAAGGCCCAACAUGGCCAACAAUUAAUUAAUUAAUUUUUUAAAAAAGAAUAUGCCAUUAUUUUGAAUCUUUAUAGUGUUUGUGUCUUACCAUUCCAGGAUGAAAUUUGAGCCUUAGAAGACCUCCACCAAAUACUUUUUAAAUAAAAAUGAGU